rnacentral:rRNA from 1 species
GACGAACGCUGGCGGCGUGCUUAACACAUGCAAGUCGAACGGUAAGGCCCUUCGGGGUCCACGAGUGGCGAACGGGUGAGUAACACGUGGGUGAUCUGCCCUGCACUUCGGGAUAGGCCUGGGAAACCGGGUCUAAUAUCGGCUAGUACCACUGCCUGCUUGGGUGGUGGGGGAAAGCUUUUGCGGUGUGGGAUGGGCCCGCGGCCUAUCAGCUUGUUGGUGGGGUGAUGGCCUACCAAGGCGACGACGGGUAGCCGGCCUGAGAGGGUGACCGGCCACACUGGGACUGAGAUACGGCCCAGACUCCUACGGGAGGCAGCAGUGGGGAAUAUUGCACAAUGGGCGCAAGCCUGAUGCAGCGACGCCGCGUGAGGGAUGACGGCCUUCGGGUUGUAAACCUCUUUCAGCACCGACGAAGCGCAAGUGACGGUAGGUGCAGAAGAAGGACCGGCCAACUACGUGCCAGCAGCCGCGGUAA